UACGAAGGGGGCUAGCGUUGCUCGGAAUCACUGGGCGUAAAGCGCACGUAGGCGGCUUUUUAAGUCAGGGGUGAAAUCCUGGAGCUCAACUCCAGAACUGCCUUUGAUACUGAGGAGCUUGAGUCCGGGAGAGGUGAGUGGAACUGCGAGUGUAGAGGUGAAAUUCGUAGAUAUUCGCAAGAACACCAGUGGCGAAGGCGGCUCACUGGCCCGGUACUGACGCUGAGGUGCGAAAGCGUGGGGGAGCAAACAGG
rnacentral:rRNA from 1 species